UACGGAAGGUCCGGGCGUUAUCAGGAUUUAUUGGGUUUAAAGGGAGCGCAGGCCGCCGGGCAAGCGUGUUGUGAAAUGCAGUCGCUCAACGUCUGCACUGCAGCGCGAACUGCCCAGCUUGAGUGCGCGCAACGUUGGCGGAAUUCGCCGUGUAGCGGUGAAAUGCUUAGAUAUGGCGAAGAACUCCGAUUGCGAAGGCAGCUGACGGGUGCGUAACUGACGCUCAUGCUCGAAAGUGCGGGUAUCGAACAGG
rnacentral:rRNA from 1 species